rnacentral:sRNA from 1 species
CUUGAGCUUGUGUGAGGGAUAGAGGCGGUAUCCUUUUGUGAAGUGAAACGGAACAAAAGAUAUAGCCGAAAGCCCGACCCCGC